rnacentral:rRNA from 1 species
GACGAAGGUGGCAAGCGUUGUUCGGAAUCACUGGGCUUAAAGCGCACGUAGGCGGGACGUUACGCGUCCUGUGAAAUCCCUCGGCUCAACCGAGGAAUUGCAGGGCGUACGGACGUCCUUGAGGCAGGUAGAGGUGCGGGGAACUCUUGGUGGAGCGGUGGAAUGCGUAGAUAUCAAGAGGAACGCCGGAGACGAAGGUGCUGCACUGGGCCUGUCCUGACGCUGAGGUGCGAAAGCCAGGGGAG